AUACGGAGGGGGCUAGCGUUGUUCGGAAUUACUGGGCGUAAAGCGCGUGUAGGCGGAUCGUUAAGUCAGGGGUGAAAGCCCGGGGCUCAACCCCGGAACUGCCCUUGAUACUGGCGAUCUAGAGUCCGGAAGAGGUGGGCGGAAUUCCCGGUGUAGAGGUGAAAUUCGUAGAUAUCGGGAGGAACACCAGUGGCGAAGGCGGCUCACUGGUCCGGCACUGACGCUGAGACGCGAAAGCGUGGGGAGCAAACAGGAUUAGAAACCCUUGUAGUCC
rnacentral:rRNA from 1 species